rnacentral:misc_RNA from 1 species
GGUUUGCCUGGGGUCCUCUGGGUACUGCCAGACUCAUAUAUAGAUGUGAAAAACAAGGAUUAUGGAGGAGACAAACAUAUCAAUGGAGAGAUAAUUUCUUGCACUUACCCUACUUACCAACCAAAGCAGAGAAAUAGUUCAAAGUACGAGAGUAGAAGAUAUGAAAGACGGAGAGAUGGCCCACCUCCCGAACGGAGAAGACCAAGACAAGGGG